rnacentral:rRNA from 1 species
AUUGAACGCUGGCGGCAUGCCUUACACAUGCAAGUCGAACGGUAGCGGGCCUUCGGGUGCCGACGAGUGGCGAACGGGUGAGUAAUGUAUCGGAACGUACCAUUGAGUGGGGGAUAACGUAGCGAAAGUUACGCUAAUACCGCAUAUUCUGUGAGCAGGAAAGCAGGGGAUCGCAAGACCUUGCGCUGAUUGAGCGGCCGAUAUCAGAUUAGCUAGUUGGUGAGGUAAAGGCUCACCAAGGCGACGAUCUGUAGCGGGUCUGAGAGGAUGAUCCGCCACACUGGAACUGAGACACGGUCCAGACUCCUACGGGAGGCAGCAGUGGGGAAUUUUGGACAAUGGGCGCAAGCCUGAUCCAGCCAUGCCGCGUGAGUGAAGAAGGCCUGG